rnacentral:rRNA from 1 species
GCUUGUCUCAAAGAUUAAGCCAUGCAUGUCUAAGUAUAAAUAGUAUACAGUGAAACUGCGAAUGGCUCAUUAAAACAGUUAUAGUUUAUUUGAUAAUUGAAUACUACAUGGAUAACCGUGGUAAUUCUAGAGCUAAUACAUGCGUUAAAACCGGACUUUUUGGAACGGUUGUAUUUAUUAGAUACCAAACCAAUAUUCCUUCGGGUCUAUUGUGAUGAUUCAUAAUAACUGAUCGAAGCAGGGCCUGCUCUGCUAAAUCAUUCAAGUUUCUGCCCUAUCAGCUUUCGAUGGUAGUGUAUUGGACUACCAUGGCAGUCACGGGUAACGGGGAAUUAGGGUUCGAUUCCGGAGAGGGAGCCUGAGAAACGGCUACCACUUCUAAGGAAGGCAGCAGG